rnacentral:rRNA from 1 species
UUGAACGCUGGCGGCAUGCUUUACACAUGCAAGUCGAACGGCAGCGGGGGCUUCGGCCUGCCGGCGAGUGGCGAACGGGUGAGUAACAUAUCGGAACAUAUCCUAUCGUGGGGGAUAACUAGUCGAAAGACUAGCUAAUACCGCAUACGUCCUGAGGGAGAAAGCGGGGGCUCGCAAGACCUCGCGCGAUUGGAGUGGCCGAUAUCUGAUUAGCUAGAUGGUGGGGUAAAGGCUCACCAUGGCGACGAUCAGUAGCUGGUCUGAGAGGAUGAUCAGCCACACUGGGACUGAGACACGGCCCAGACUCCUACGGGAGGCAGCAGUGGGGAAUUUUGGACAAUGGGCGCAAGCCUGAUCCAGCCAUUCCGCGUGAGUGAAGAAGGCCUUCGGGUUGUAAAGCUCUUUCGGCAGGAACGAAACGGUGGGAUCUAAUACAUACCACUAAUGACGGUACCUGAAGAAGAAGCACCGGCUAACUACGU